rnacentral:rRNA from 1 species
AACCCAGUGUGACUCGUCACACUAUCAUUAACUGAAUCCAUAGGUUAAUGAGGCGAACCGGGGGAACUGAAACAUCUAAGUACCCCGAGGAAAAGAAAUCAACCGAGAUUCCCCCAGUAGCGGCGAGCGAACGGGGAGGAGCCCAGAGCCUGAAUCAGCAUGUGUGUUAGUGGAAGCGUCUGGAAAGGCGCGCGAUACAGGGUGAGAGCCCCGUACACAAAAGCGCAUGUGCUGUGAGCUCGAUGAGUAGGGCGGGACACGUGGUAUCCUGUCUGAAUAUGGGGGGACCAUCCUCCAAGGCUAAAUACUCCUGACUGACCGAUAGUGAACCAGUACCGUGAGGGAAAGGCGAAAAGAACCCCGGCGAGGGGAGUGAAACAGAACCUGAAACCGUGUACGUAC